rnacentral:rRNA from 1 species
AACGAACGCUGGCGGCAGGCUUAACACAUGCAAGUCGAGCGGACACUUUCGGGUGUCAGCGGCGGACUGGUGAGUAACGCGGGGUAACGUGCCCUCUGGUUCGGAAUAACUCAGGGAAACUUGAGCUAAUACCGGAUACGCUCUUUUGGGGAAAUGCUUUCAGCCGGAAGAUCGGCACGCGUCGGAUUAUCUAGCUGGCGAGGUAACGGCUCUCCGAGGCGCCGAUCCGUAUCUGGUGUGAGAGGAUGAGCAGCAACACUGGUACUGAGACACGGCCAGGAAUCCUACGGGAAGGAGCAGUGGGGGAUCGUGGAAAAUCGGCGCGAGCCAGAACGAGCCAUGCAGCGUGAGUGAUGAAGACCUUAGGGUAGUAAAGCUCUUUUAAACGGGACGAUAAUGACGGUAACGGAGGCAGAAGCCCCGGCCAACCUAGUGC